GAUGAACGCUGGCGGCGUGCCUAACACAUGCAAGUCGAACGGAGAUUACGGACGGAAGUUUUCGGAUGGAAGCCUGUAAUUCUUAGUGGCGGACGGGUGAGUAACGCGUGGGCAACCUGCCCUAUACAGGGGGAUAGCAGCUGGAAACGGCUGGUAAGACCGCAUAAGUCGGUGGAACCGCAUGGUUUUGUCGGGAAAUGAGCAAUCAGGUAUAGGAUGGGCCCGCGUCCGAUUAGCCAGUUGGCAGGGUAAAAGCCUACCAAAGCGACGAUCGGUAGCCGGACUGAGAGGUCGGACGGCCACAUUGGGACUGAGACACGGCCCAAACUCCUACGGGAGGCAGCAGUGGGGGAUAUUGCACAAUGGAGGAAACUCUGAUGCAGCGACGCCGCGUGAGUGAAGAAGUAUUUCGGUAUGUAAAG
rnacentral:rRNA from 1 species